rnacentral:tmRNA from 1 species
CCCCUUCCCUUCAUCGUUAUGACAUCUUAUAUCCAUCGGGCCGUCUUCGGGCGGCUAUGGCAAUAAACGGACGAUGAAAUAAACCUAUUGGACCCGGGGGCGGUACCCGGCGCCUCCACCAGGAACCGGCGGACGAUCAUGCCCGAGGCCGGCUGCUGAUGGGGGCGAAAUAGGAUCGACAAGGGUGUAAAGAUCGCUCUUUUGCUCGGCAUUGUACCACCGUUAUCGGGCUAAAAUUGUAGUUGCAAACGACAACUAUGCUGAAGCUCGUCUCGCUGCUUAAUCGCAGUGCGACACUUCAAAUCAAGCCCUUGCGGGUAGCACCGUAAGGCGGGGUCCGAAGGCACCUGGCAACAGAAGCCUUCACC